rfam:Candidate division TM6 bacterium JCVI TM6SC1 contig_2_JCVI_TM6SC1_contig_464061..737650, whole genome shotgun sequence.
GGCGACGUAGCUCAGCUGGUUAGAGCGGCGGAAUCAUAAUCCGUAGGUCCGGGGUUCGAGUCCCUGCGUCGCCA